GGUUGUUAUCAAUGGUACUUAUCUCAUAGAGUGGUUAUAGUAUUAAGUAAUUUAAUCCAUAUUAAGUACUUAGAAUCUCCCUGGGAAAGGCACACAAUAAAUAUUAGUUAUUAUUACUCCAUACUGCUACCCAUACUAAUUAUAGGGUGCUAUGAUAAUGAAGGUGGGGAGCUAGAAUAUGCACAUCGUGUGAAGGAAUGAAAGAUGAUGCCGUGCAAAGCGGGCUUGGGCUUGAGGUAAUAUAUUGCUUCCUGACAUAAUGUUGAUGGGGUUUCACUAGGCCACUAAAAUCUCUGCUGUUGAAAGGCAGUAAGAUCUCUACCACUAGAUAACUAGGUAGCCCGAGCAGGACACUGAUAAUGCAUAUGUUCAUCUCUACCUGGAAAGUGGGCUCCUCUGCAGACAGAGAAUCUAGGAUGAUCUGGAGAAUGCAAGCCUGUAUAGGUAACUUCCUCAAAUCCCUCUCCUCCUCUGGACUCCAGGCCAGAAAUAUAGGACUCACAACUUCCAUGCCACCCCUGUCCUCCUUCUACAGCAAGGAAUAAUUUUCAGAAGAUGUUAAAAAUCUCAUACAAAUACCCAAUGAACACACAUCAGAGUUUUAUUUAACUCAAUGAGAGGGCCAGUGGAGAACCAGAGAAUCAGCAAAACCUCUGGCUUAGCCACAAAGAAAGACUUAAAUAAAUACCAUCUCUCAUUGAAGGAAGGUGAGAGGGCAAAGAAAAUUUGAGGUCAACGGGAGCUAAUUUUUCCCUCAUCCUAGACAGAUGUUCACUUGUUCUUCCUAAUUUGUGAUUUCAUAGAUAAGCUCCAAGGCUUCAGGGCUCUUUACCUCAUGUUGAUGGGUUGUUUUGGCUGCAUUGAGGAUAAAGUUGCAUGCUAAAUGUGUGAAGAACUUGGAAAGGGAUGGGGAAUUAGUUUUUAGUUAUGAUGGGUUCGGCUAGUGGACUUACAGAGAUGUAUGGUCCAUCCAUCUAGUAAGCGGAUCUAUUGUAAUCAAGAGAAAUGGAAAGAUUAGGACCAGGAGGAGAAAUAAUCAUUCAGUGUUACCUAUGGUAUGUCAAGCUUCAUUGAAGCCCAUUGGAAGCUGUCAGAAAGUGUCUCUCCCAGUAGGAUCAUGAGACCUUCUCAUAUUACUGUGUAAUGAGUUUCCUAAGUGAGCUAUAGCAGAGCCUAUGUUGCUCUUCUAAUAAAAACAUGUCCAUCUUUAUUAAGAGAGAAGACUUAAGCAGUGUGUCCAUGUCCUUUGUUCUUUCUUAUAAUUAUGCAGUGUUUAAAUUGUCAAAAUUUCCUUCUUAAAAAUUAUACUUGACAUAAAUGCUAUGCAGCAUUGGGGGAAAAGAUGGUUCACCCAUGUUUCAAACAAGGCCAAAAGGACGCUAAUUCAGUGUCGUUUUGGUAUUUUAUUUCUGUCCUGAGUGAAAUAAUAAAAGGGACAGAAGAUUUUACCUCUAAAGACAGCUAUGAAUGGACAAUUGAAGAAAAACACACGGAGGCGGAAACCAGAAUCUGAGAAGGUAAUACCUGGCGUCAUGAUUUGUAUGCAGUAAAGGAAAAGGGGAAGAUGCGGCUCAUCUUUCUGUCUUGGUGUCCUGUGAUUUCUGCAUUGUUAACCAAUAAUGAAAUUCCUGCCUUAUUGAAGUAUGGAGACAACUCCACCUCUAGAUUCUGAAGCAACAACACAGGGUGAACAGCUGUGGGAGCAACCUGUGAAACAGUCCAUGAAAAUUACUCCUGCUGAUAGAGGGAGUCUUUCCUUUGCUUGCUGGCCUCCUGCUGAACUUACCCUUCUCAUCGUGACGUGAGCCGACGUGCCUACACGAUGAAGUGAGGAGAGGCACUGGAGCAUAGCACUGGGCUCCUAUGGACCUUCUGACCAUAUGUCAAGAGGAUCAUCUGCUUCUGGACUGCCACUUACUACAGGUAAUUGCCACAACCUUGAGAUCAAGAGUUGCAUUCUCCAUCAGCUGAGCCAGCCAGGUGCCCCUAAUUCUAACACUUUGAAGUAUUAAAGCCAAUAAGCUUCUGGUGUGCAUAAUUCAUAUUCAUAAGUAAGCUUUUCUUAGCUUCCUAAUUUUUACUUCUUCCCACCUUUGAUUUUUUUUUUCUUCCCACCUUUGAAAUCAUUGGUAUCUACUUAGUGACCUUGUUUUUUUUUUGUGAUCUCUGCAUCCAUGUGAAGCAAGCUCAGGAAGACUUCAGGCAUUUCUUUGUUCUGCUCUUCUGCUCUCAGGUAUAAAAUUUGGAAAUACUUAACUUCUCAUUUGAAAAUUAGUGUCAAUUCAUGAGUUUUGGAGGGUGUUUUGAAGUCCUCUGCUAUUACCCAACUAUCUCUGCCUCAACAUGAAGAUGAAUGUUCCAGCCUUCCUUUUUCCAUUGAGGUUUCUGAUCCAGUAGGACUUGCUGGAUUCCUGCUGGAGGAGUUCAGGUGCUCCUAUCAGUUUUGGUAGAGACAAUAGUAGCAACCUUAGAAUUGCACACUUGGCCACUUGGACUGUAAUUUCUAAAAAUCCAGAUGUCAACUUUUCAGAAUCAAGGGGAUCCAGACCAUAAUCUGUUGAGCAAUUCUUCUGAAGGUGGCUACAAUGUUAUCACAGUCCUAUGGAGGGAUGGGCCAGCCAGCAACCUAACAUUCUGGCAUUAUUUUCUUCCCUUGAAAUUUCUCUUCAGCAAUAUCUACAUUGUCAUUUAUCCCAUUUGACGGAUUUCUCUUGGCUAAUUCAGAGAAACUUUUUUUCCUCCUUCCCAAUCUUGCCAUCCAACUUACAAGGGCAGGAUGGGGGGUGGCAGAGGGAAUUAUAGGUAUUUAAAAAAAGCUUCUCAAAUGUAGUGGCAGUCAGAGAAAUGCAAAUAAACGCCGAGAUGCCAUACUUGUGCAUAGAAGACUGGCAAAUGUUCUAAAGUUGGUAUUUCACUUCCAUAUUGCUACUAGACAAACUACAACCAAACUUAGUGGCAGUGCCCUUAAGAUUCUGGAAAUCUCUCUUUUAACAAAGUCUAAGAGACACACACUCUACUGAUGUCUUCUGACAUAUCAAAGUCAAAAAAGAGUUUUAGAGCUGUACCCGACCUGGACAGCUUACUUCAAAAUUUAUCCUGAGACCGAAUUUUACUGACAACACUCCACAUUUGAUCUCUGUAGUUCUUAUUUUGACAACCUUUUGCUUGCUAGGAAAGGCCAGCCUGGCUCUCAACAUCCUCCAAACUGUGCUACAUAAUUCAACAGUUCUGUCAUUUAUGUCUGUCUUGUAUUUUAUCAGAGGCAGCUAUUUGUCCCUUUUAACGUUCUGCCUGCCAAUUUCCCCAGCCAGAUCUUACAGAUGUGGUGGGUCCUGGAGUUCAUUUCUGGGAAGAACCAGCCUCAGAUGCUUUUGCAUCUUCCAUCUGACAGAAAUGAGUAGAAUUUGGUACCUGGAUUAAAUAAGAAGGGAGCAAGUGGUUCAUCACAAACUAUAGGUUUUAUAUUUAAGACCUCUUGGGGGAAAACAGUGUAUUCUACUUUAUUAUUCCUGGGGCUUGAAGAUUUUGAAUUUGUGAAUAUAUGCCCGCAGACAGAACGAUCUUACAAAAUCUCUGAGGAGUCCAAUAGGUGUUACAUAGAUUCUCAGAGGAGUCACUAAAUAUGUUCAUGCGAGGUUGGGUAAAUAGAAAAUUUUCAUUCCAGUUAUCUAUGAAACACCUAUUUUUAAAUAAAUCCUUAC